UGACUGUGGCUCAUCUAUAGCUUUGUACAGUCACCCCACCCAUCCACUUCCCUCGAAGUGACUUUACUGUGUACUGUGACAGUACACUUUCUAAGCAAUUGAGACUUAAGAGCCUUGCUCAAGGGCCCAACAGUGACAACCUACCCAAACAUCAAGAGUACCUGCACUAACCAGGUAAUAUUUGGGUUGGGUUAUAGAACAUUCUUCGGACAAGGCAUGUGUCAGCCUGCAGGGGGCGCCAGAGUACAGAGGCAUUUGUAUGUGCACACAUUGGGAAACACUAGGCACUAAGCAGACAGGGCGUCGAGCUUUAAUCACUGUGUGUGUGUGUGUGUGUGUGUGUGUGUGUGUGUGUGUGUGUGUGUGUGUGUGUGUGUGUGUACCUUCGGAAGGUGUGUGAAGCAGCAGCGUAGUGCAGGGGACUGCAUCCGUUCACAUCGAGUUCAUUCACCUCGGCUCCAGCGCUCACUAAAGCUACGGUGCACUGGUGAUUUACCAUUCUGGAUAAGGAUCUGGGAACGAGUGAAGCGCCCAUGAAUGGCGGCCAUGUGCAAUGGGCUCUUACCCUCUUUCGUCUAGAAAAUUGAAGAAAUCAUAAACACAGCGCAGUGCAGGUGGUGCGGUUUUACCUCGGCGCCGAGGCGGAGCAGGUGCUUGGCAACGCCGAUGUGCCCACCGAUAGCAGCUACGUGCAGAGGAGUGUAACCCUGCUCAUCUCUGCACCCCACAUCAGCACGGCGAGACACCAGGAGCUUCACCACCUCCAAAUGCCCUGAUCCACAGAGAGUCACCGAUGUAGGCCGCAUGGUGCAGAGCUGUUCUUCCAUUCUGAUCUGUAACGUCCACGUCCCUCAUGAGAGGCAGCAGAGACGCGGCGCAUCUCAGCGCCCAAUUCGAGGCGGCCACAUGCAGCGGCAUCUGCCCCAACCGUGCCCUGGCUUCAACCUCCGACCCCUGACUCAGCAGCAACCCCACUGCCUUCUAAAAACGGACAGGAUGGAAGACUGAAUUCCAAAAAGCUUUCUAGAGUCAAUCCUACAUCUGUGCACUACAGUACAUAGGGUACAACAAAAAAAGGUGUGUUUCUUUAUAAUAACCUGUUAAUAACGUUAUUAUUAGUGGUAUUAUUAUUACUACAGUUGUUGUUAUUAUUACUAGUAUGUUUAUUGCACUAGGCACUUCGUAUGUUAUUAUUCCUUGUAUUAUAUACAUACAUAGCCUAUCUCAGCUGAAUAAUGAGGAAUUCUGUAGUCUGUGUAUUCUUUAAAAGUUCUUCACUUCAACUCUUCACUCAAAUUGUUAUGCUAA